AAUGGAGGAAACUCUGAUGCAGCGAUGCCGCGUGAGUGAAGAAGGCCUUUGGGUUGUAAAGCUCUUUCGUCGGGGAAGAAAAUGACUGUACCCGAAUAAGAAGGUCCGGCUAACUUCGUGCCAGCAGCCGCGGUAAUACGAAGGGACCUAGCGUAGUUCGGAAUUACUGGGCUUAAAGAGUUCGUAGGUGGUUGAAAAAGUUGGUGGUGAAAUCCCAGAGCUUAACUCUGGAACUGCCAUCAAAACUUUUCAGCUAGAGUUUGAUAGAGGAAAGCAGAAUUUCUAGCGUAGAGGUGAAAUUCGUAGAUAUUAGAAAGAAUACCAAUUGCGAAGGCAGCUUUCUGGAUCAUUACUGACACUGAGGAACGAAAGCAUGGGUAGCGAAGAGGAUU
rnacentral:rRNA from 1 species